rnacentral:rRNA from 1 species
UGUCUGGGCGGGCCGGGGUGAGAUGUAAUGGUAAGGGGGUAAGCGGUGUUCGAGAUUACUGUGCGUAGAGGGAGCGGAGGCGGGUCAGUAAGUCGGUUGUGAAAUCCCUGGGCUUAACCUUGGAACUGCAUCCGAAACUACUGGUCUUGAGUGCCGGAGAGGAUGGCGGAAUAACCGGUGUAGUAGUGAAAUGCGUAGAGAUCGGUUAGAACACCUGAGGCGAAGGCGGCUAUCUGGCUGUACACUGACGCUGAUGCGCGAAAGCGUGGGGAGCAAACAGGAUUAGAUACCCGGGUAGUC